rnacentral:rRNA from 1 species
UGCCAGCAGCCGCGGUAAUACGGAGGGAGCGAGCGUUAAUCGGAAUUACUGGGCGUAAAGGGCGCGUAGGUGGCCAGAUUAGUCGGGUGUGAAAGCCCCGGGCUUAACUCGGGAAUUGCAUUCGAUACUGUCUGGCUAGAGUGCAGUAGAGGGAAGCGGAAUUCCGGGUGUAGCGGUGAAAUCCGUAGAUAUUCGGAGGAACACCAGUGGCGAAGGCGGCUUUCUGGACCGAUACUGACGCUGAGACGCGAAAGCGUGGGGAGCAAACAGGAUUAGAUA